rnacentral:rRNA from 1 species
AUUGAACGCUGGCGGCAUGCUUUACACAUGCAAGUCGAACGGUAACAGGCCGCAAGGUGCUGACGAGUGGCGAACGGGUGAGUAAUGCAUCGGAACGUGCCCAGUCGUGGGGGAUAACGCAGCGAAAGCUGCGCUAAUACCGCAUACGAUCUAUGGAUGAAAGCGGGGGACCGUAAGGCCUCGCGCGAUUGGAGCGGCCGAUGUCAGAUUAGGUAGUUGGUGGGGUAAAGGCUCACCCAGCCAACGAUCUGUAGCUGGUCUGAGAGGGCGACCAGCCACACUGGGACUGAGACACGGCCCAGACUCCUACGGGAGGCAGCAGUGGGGAAUUGUGGACAAUGGGCGCAAGCCUGAUCCAGCAAUGCCGCGUGCAGGAAGAAGGCCUUCGGGUUGUAAACUGCUUUUGUACGGAACGAAAAGGCUCUGGUUAAUACCUGGGGCUCAUGACGGUACCGUAAGAAUAAGCACCGGCUAACUACGUGCCAGCCGCCGCAGUAACAC